rnacentral:rRNA from 1 species
CUACGGGCCGCAGCAGUGGGGAAUAUUGCACAAUGGACGAAAGUCUGAUGCAGCAACGCCGCGUGGAGGAUGACACAUUUCGGUGCGUAAACUCCUUUUAUAUAGGAAGAUAAUGACGGUACUAUAUGAAUAAGCACCGGCUAACUCCGUGCCAGCAGCCGCGGGAAUACGGAGGGUGCAAGCGUUACUCGGAAUCACUGGGCGUAAAGAGCGUGUAGGCGGGUAAAUAAGUCAGAAGUGAAAUCCUAUGGCUCAACCAUAGAACUGCUUUUGAAACUGUAUACCUAGAAUGUGGGAGAGGCAGAUGGAAUUUCUGGUGUAGGGGUAAAAUCCGUAGAGAUCAGAAGGAAUACCGAUUGCAAAGGCGAUCUGCUGGAACAUUAUUGACGCUGAGACGCGAAAGCGUGGGGAGCAAACAGGAUUAGAUACCCGCGUAGUC